UUAAGCGACUAAGCGUACACGGUGGAUGCCCUGGCAGUCAGAGGCGAUGAAGGACGUGCUAAUCUGCGAAAAGCGUCGGUAAGGUGAUAUGAACCGUUAUAACCGGCGAUGUCCGAAUGGGGAAACCCAGUGCAAUUCGUUGCACUAUCGUUAACUGAAUACAUAGGUUAACGAGGCGAACCGGGGGAACUGAAACAUCUAAGUACCCCGAGGAAAAGAAAUCAACCGAGAUUCCCCCAGUAGCGGCGAGCGAACGGGGAGCAGCCCAGAGUCUGAAUCAGCUUGUGUGUUAGUGGAACGGUCUGGAAAGUCCGACGGUACAGGGUGAUAGUCCCGUACACCAAAAUGCACAGGCUGUGAACUCGAAGAGUAGGGCGGGACACGUGGUAUCCUGUCUGAAUAUGGGGGGACCAUCCUCCAAGGCUAAAUACUCCUGACUGACCGAUAGUGAACCAGUACCGUGAGGGAAAGGCGAAAAGAACCCCGGCGAGGGGAGUGAAAAAGAACCUGAAACCGUGUACGUACAAGCAGUGGGAGCACCUUCGGGUGUGACUGCGUACCUUUUGUAUAAUGGGUCAGCGACUUAUAUUCUGUAGCAAGGUUAACCGUAUAGGGGAGCCGCAGGGAAACCGAGUCUUAACUGGGCGUUAAGUUGCAGGGUAUAGACCCGAAACCCGGUGAUCUAGCCAUGGGCAGGUUGAAGGUUGGGUAACACUAACUGGAGGACCGAACCGACUAAUGUUGAAAAAUUAGCGGAUGACUUGUGGCUGGGGGUGAAAGGCCAAUCAAACCGGGAGAUAGCUGGUUCUCCCCGAAAGCUAUUUAGGUAGCGCCUCGUGAACUCAUCUUCGGGGGUAGAGCACUGUUUCGGCUAGGGGGUCAUCCCGACUUACCAACCCGAUGCAAACUACGAAUACCGAAGAAUGUUAUCACGGGAGACACACGGCGGGUGCUAACGUCCGUCGUGAAGAGGGAAACAACCCAGACCGCCAGCUAAGGUCCCAAAGUCAUGGUUAAGUGGGAAACGAUGUGGGAAGGCACAGACAGCCAGGAUGUUGGCUUAGAAGCAGCCAUCAUUUAAAGAAAGCGUAAUAGCUCACUGGUCGAGUCGGCCUGCGCGGAAGAUGUAACGGGGCUAAACCAUGCACCGAAGCUGCGGCAGCGACACUAUGUGUUGUUGGGUAGGGGAGCGUUCUGUAAGCCUGCGAAGGUGUGCUGUGAGGGUUGCUGGAGGUAUCAGAAGUGCGAAUGCUGACAUAAGUAACGAUAAAGCGGGUGAAAAGCCCGCUCGCCGGAAGACCAAGGGUUCCUGUCCAACGUUAAUCGGGGCAGGGUGAGUCGACCCCUAAGGCGAGGCCGAAAGGCGUAGUCGAUGGGAAACAGGUUAAUAUUCCUGUACUUGGUGUUACUGCGAAGGGGGGACGGAGAAGGCUAUGUUAGCCGGGCGACGGUUGUCCCGGUUUAAGCAUGUAGGCUGGUUGUCCAGGCAAAUCCGGAUAAUCAAGGCUGAGGUGUGAUGACGAGGCACUACGGUGCUGAAGUAACAAAUGCCCUGCUUCCAGGAAAAGCCUCUAAGCAUCAGGUAACAUCAAAUCGUACCCCAAACCGACACAGGUGGUCAGGUAGAGAAUACCAAGGCGCUUGAGAGAACUCGGGUGAAGGAACUAGGCAAAAUGGUGCCGUAACUUCGGGAGAAGGCACGCUGGUGUGUAGGUGAAGUCCCUGCGGAUGGAGCUGAGACCAGUCGAAGAUACCAGCUGGCUGCAACUGUUUAUUAAAAACACAGCACUGUGCAAACACGAAAGUGGACGUAUACGGUGUGACGCCUGCCCGGUGCCGGAAGGUUAAUUGAUGGGGUUAUCCGUAAGGAGAAGCUCUUGAUCGAAGCCCCGGUAAACGGCGGCCGUAACUAUAACGGUCCUAAGGUAGCGAAAUUCCUUGUCGGGUAAGUUCCGACCUGCACGAAUGGCGUAAUGAUGGCCAGGCUGUCUCCACCCGAGACUCAGUGAAAUUGAACUCGCUGUGAAGAUGCAGUGUACCCGCGGCAAGACGGAAAGACCCCGUGAACCUUUACUAUAGCUUGACACUGAACAUUGAGCCUUGAUGUGUAGGAUAGGUGGGAGGCUUUGAAGCGUGGACGCCAGUCUGCGUGGAGCCAACCUUGAAAUACCACCCUUUAAUGUUUGAUGUUCUAACGUUGGCCCCUUACCGGGGUUGCGGACAGUGUCUGGUGGGUAGUUUGACUGGGGCGGUCUCCUCCCAAAGCGUAACGGAGGAGCACGAAGGUUAGCUAAUCCUGGUCGGACAUCAGGAGGUUAGUGCAAUGGCAUAAGCUAGCUUGACUGCGAGCGUGACGGCGCGAGCAGGUGCGAAAGCAGGUCAUAGUGAUCCGGUGGUUCUGAAUGGAAGGGCCAUCGCUCAACGGAUAAAAGGUACUCCGGGGAUAACAGGCUGAUACCGCCCAAGAGUUCAUAUCGACGGCGGUGUUUGGCACCUCGAUGUCGGCUCAUCACAUCCUGGGGCUGAAGUAGGUCCCAAGGGUAUGGCUGUUCGCCAUUUAAAGUGGUACGCGAGCUGGGUUUAGAACGUCGUGAGACAGUUCGGUCCCUAUCUGCCGUGGGCGCUGGAGAAUUGAGGGGGGCUGCUCCUAGUACGAGAGGACCGGAGUGGACGCAUCACUGGUGUUCGGGUUGUCAUGCCAAUGGCACUGCCCGGUAGCUAAAUGCGGAAGAGAUAAGUGCUGAAAGCAUCUAAGCACGAAACUUGCCCCGAGAUGAGUUCUCCCUGAGACUUUAAGUCUCCUGAAGGAACGUUGAAGACGACGACGUUGAUAGGCCGGGUGUGUAAGCGCAGCGAUGCGUUGAGCUAACCGGUACUAAUGAACCGUGAGGCUUAACCUU
rnacentral:rRNA from 1 species